rnacentral:tRNA from 1 species
AGGGUGAUGACUUAAAUGGUAAAGUGCUUGUCUUGGAAACAUGAUACUGUGAGUUCAUUCUG